rnacentral:rRNA from 1 species
CGGAGCGAAUCUCAAAAAGCCGGUCUCAGUUCGGAUUGGGGUCUGCAACUCGACCCCAUGAAGUCGGAGUUGCUAGUAAUCGCAGAUCAGCAUUGCUGCGGUGAAUACGUUCCCGGGCCUUGUACACACCGCCCGUCACGUCACGAAAGUCGGUAACACCCGAAGCCGGUGGCCCAACCCCUUGUGGGAGGGAGCUGUCGAAGGUGGGACUGGCGAUUGGGACGAAGUCGUAACAAGGUAGCCGUACCGGAAGGUGCGGUUGGAUCACCU